GACGAACGCUGGCGGCGUGCUUAACACAUGCAAGUCGUGCGGUAAGGCCCUUUCGGGGGUACACGAGCGGCGCACGGGUGAGUAACACGUGAGCAACCUGCCCUUCACUUUGGGAUAACUGCCGGAAACGGUGGCUAAUACCGGAUAUGACUUCCUCACGCAUGUGGGGUGGUGGAAAGCCUUCGGGUGGUGGGGGAUGGGCUCGCGGGCUAUCAGCUUGUUGGUGGGGUGAUGGCCUACCAAGGCUUCGACGGGUAGCCGGCCUGAGAGGGUGACCGGCCACCCUGGGCCUGAGAGAGGGCGCAGUGUGGUACAGGAGACAGCAGGGGGAAAUAUGGUACAAUGGUCGCGCGCCUGAUACAGCGGCGCCGCGUGUGGGAUGACGUCUUUCGGGGUGUGAAACGCUUUAGGUUGCUACGCAGCGGUUGUGACGGUAGCAAAAAAAGAAGCACCGGCUAACUUCGUG
rnacentral:rRNA from 1 species